rnacentral:rRNA from 1 species
GACGAACGCUGGCGGCGUGCUUAACACAUGCAAGGCGAACGGAAAGGCCCUGCUUUUGUGGGGUGCUCGAGUGGCGAACGGGUGAGUAACACGUGAGUAACCUGCCCUUGACUUUGGGAUAACUUCAGGAAACUGGGGCUAAUACCGGAUAGGAGCUCCUGCUGCAUGGUGGGGGUUGGAAAGUUUCGGCGGUUGGGGAUGGACUCGCGGCUUAUCAGCUUGUUGGUGGGGUAGUGGCUUACCAAGGCUUUGACGGGUAGCCGGCCUGAGAGGGUGACCGGCCACAUUGGGACUGAGAUACGGCCCAGACUCCUACGGGAGGCAGCAGUGGGGAAUAUUGCACAAUGGGCGGAAGCCUGAUGCAGCAACGCCGCGUGCGGGAUGACGGCCUUCGGGUUGUAAACCGCUUUCGCCUGUGACGAAGCGUGAGUGACGGUAAUGGGUAAAGAAGCACCGGCUAACUACGUG